AAGGAUAGCCAACUAAAAGGAUACAAACACACCUUUAAUAUUGGUACUUAAUAACCCCACCAUUCACAUGCUGCUAUGUAAAUAAAAUAAAUUUAGUAAGGGAAUAUUUUAUAAAGUAUAGAUUGAAAAUAACUAGCAAGGCUUGCAUCCAUUGGUGGUUGAUGCCGAUAAUUUUUGUAGGGAUUGGUUGUUUGAAUGGGUAUCCUCCCAAGGAUCUUGUGAUAGGAUUGCCUGGUUAACCAAAAGUUUGAUUCAGACAGUUUGCUGGCUACAUUAAUUUGGAUGAUAAGACUGAUGGGAGCUUAUUUUACUACUUUGUUGAAGCUGGGAAGGAUCAUGACCAUAAGCCACUCACUCUUUGGCUCAGUGGAGGUUAUGCAACUAAGAUUUGCCAUUGAAAGUAUUAUUCGUGAACAACCGCGAUGAAAUCAACCCCAAGCUCUUUUUAGCAGCUAUUGAGCUACUCACUUCUGCAACAACUCACCAGUUUUGUGUGUAGGGGUUCGGGUUUUAUGUCAAGUGAAUUCGGGUCCCAAUUUGAGUCAAACGCCAAAUGCACAAGCUUCCAAGCAACAACCCCUGCUGCCAGCUUAUCAUACACCACACCUUCACUAUCCUACACCACCCCAAACAACACACACCAACAUCACAACACUUACCCUGCUCACGCAAACCACCAGCUAAUUCCCCUGCUCCAAUUCACCUUCAGCCACCCAAACAAAACCAUAGCAACCACGCACCCGAACCACCAUCACCCACCAAUUCCACUAACCCUUACAAACACCACCCGCAUCUUCGUGCAACCACCAUCCCACACUAAUCAGCCACCUGCCGCUCACCCUUCGCCAAUUCCCAACCUUUCCCCUAACUCACUCAACUCAGCGCACCCCCAAAACCACCGUACCACACACAGUAGCCCACCAAAGCCAAUCAACAACCCUUGUACCACAGUCCACCAAAACCCACACCAAUUAACCACCUGCACCACCGCUGCUUCCUUCCCCCGCACCUCACCAAACCACGACUCUAACCACCGCUGCAGCCACUCAAUUUUAGCCACCCAAACCGCACCUCUUCCCUGCAAUUCCCGGCCACCGCAAACCCAAAUCAACCCCAUCAAUUCGCACAAGCGUCAGCCUAAAUCAAAGCAAAUUCAAUUAAUAAAUUUCAGGUAAACCGCAUAAGAGUUCGAUCGAAAUGCCAAGAAGUGCCAAUACAGUCAGAAACUUUUGAAGUUUUGUAAAUUAAAGAGGUGUGGUCUAACACACCCAUGGUUUGACCGAACCAACCCCGUAGUUCGGCCACACCAACCCAUGGUUCGACCGAACCAUUUCACGAGCUAUGCACGUGAUAAUUAUUGAGAUCAAACAAUUGAAGCUUGGUGAUUGUCGUUGAUCUUCGAUUCGUGAUGAUGAUGUGCGUUGAUGAUGGUGUGAUGCAGUGGUGAUGAAGAAUGGAGCAGCCAAAAUCGAAUAGAAGAAGAAUAGGAAGGUUGAUGUGGUUUGGGGGAUUUUGGGUUUUUUUUUCCUUUUUCUUUUAUUUUUAUUUCUUUUCCUUUUCAUUUUAUUAUUUCUUUUCUCUUUUAUUUUCUUUUAUUUUCCUUUUCUUUCUUUCUUUUCUUUUAUUUUAUUAAGUUAGUAUAAACACACAUUUUCGGGGGUAAUUAGAAUUAACAAGGAACAAUAUAUUCAAUUAACAAUUAAUCUAUUCUCUAAUUAGUUUUAGGAGAGGUUCUCUCUCUAGGUUUAGGUUAGGAUUAGAGUAGUUUAGAGAGAGAAAGUGAG